UCCAGACUCCUACGGGAGGCAGCAGUGAGGAAUAUUGGUCAAUGGGCGAGAGCCUGAACCGGCCAAGUCGCGUGAGGGACGACGGCCCUACGGGUUGUAAACCUCUUUUGCCGGGGGACAAACGGCGGCACGCGUGCCGUCCUGAGGGUACCCGGAGAAAAAGCAUCGGCUAACUCCGUGCCAGCAGCCGCGGUAAUACGGAGGAUGCGAGCGUUAUCCGGAUUUAUUGGGUUUAAAGGGUGCGUAGGCGGGAUGCCAAGUCAGCGGUAAAAUCGGGGGGCUCAACCUGCGUCCGCCGUUGAAACUGGCGUUCUUGAGUGGGCGAGAAGUACGCGGAAUGCGUGGUGUAGCGGUGAAAUGCAUAGAUAUCACGCAGAACCCCGAUUGCGAAGGCAGCGUACCGGCGCCCGACUGACGCUGAGGCACGAAAGCGUGGGGAUCGAACAGGAUUAGAUACCCCGGUA
rnacentral:rRNA from 1 species